CCUGCUUUUUAUAGUACACAUAUCCUUACAUCCAUUCCAAAAAAUUUAAGCACCCAUGCAUUUUAAUCUAUUUUGACAAGGCCAGGGCUGGGGGAAAUCCGCACAUUGUAUAUCUGCUUUUUUAUUCAGGAAAUUAUUUAUUAUCACCGCGUUUCUCUACAACAUUACAUUAUGUAAUUCAUUGCAUCUGCUUUGAAUCACCACACACUUAGGCUCCUCCCUGCUUCACUUCGUCGAGUCUAUCACCAUUGUCCUUGUAGUUUUGUGAGCCAUGGUGCUCAUGCCUCUCACUUUCCACUUUCUAAUCAUGAAUGAACAACUAACUAAUGUUCUAUUUGUUAUGCUCUGACUCUUUUAAUACACUUGGGCCAACCUAUGACAGAUUCGAUUCCAAUGCAAUGUGUGCUUGCUUUCAUUCAUUUGACCAUAUGGAUAUAGCUUCUACUAAUCCUAUAUUUACAUUUCAGUUGCUCAUAUAGUCACAAGUAAAUUCAAUUGUGUUAUUUCUCUCUUGUACUCCGUUAUAUUUAUUUCCAUUUGAAUCUGCUUUCAAUUAAUUGCAUCUCUUCCUCACAGGGCGCGGGGGGCAUGGUCUGGGUUGUUGUUGCAACAGAUCUUUGAGCCAAGAACUAUCAGCUACUGCGGUUAAUCUAAGUUCAUGUGUUGAUUUUGUAUCUUUUUUGGCCAGGCCAAACUCAGCGUGGUUUUCCAGCUGUCAUGGAUGAGAUUGAGAUAACAUCAGGUAUCACCUUAGGCCUUAUAUGCUUGCUCAGGCCCUUAAUGUUGAAGGAAUAACCUAGUGGUAGCUGUACAAUACUAUCAUUGUAGUAGCAUCCCCAAAUUUGUAUAUUACUAUAUUCCAAACACUUGUUAAAAUUAUGCGAAAAAUGAUAAAAUUUUGUGAACUGGAGUGAGUAAGUACUAUCUAAUUCUCUGUUUGAAUGUUGUCACCAGACUCAUGCAACUGAACUUCCAUACAUUUCGAAAUUAUCUUUACAUGUUCAAGAAUGACCUAUUUUACAGAUAUAAGUUGCAUCAUAAUAAUCUUCACAUUUUAGUUGCAUCAUAAUAAUCUUCUUCUUCUAACUUUCUUCUUUCCCAUUUUACAGAUUUGCUUAAGAUCACGGAAGCUUGGGUUGAUGGAGUGCUUGUAUUUAGUUUUUGUUUUGACCUUGUGAAACUUGCUACCUAUGGAUGAAACUGUGUAAUAUUGAUGAAACUAUGUAUAUGUACGGAUGAAACUUGCUACUAUUGGUAACAUGUGUUGGAUACAUAUGUGUUCAUGACUAUUGGUAAUAUGUGUUGAAUAUGCUAUAUUGGUCAUAUAAAUAUAUUUGUGUUUG
rnacentral:lncRNA from 1 species